GCACCAUACAAAAGUGAGAAGUGAGAACGGAGACGUUAACUGGCACGACUCCCCAGUUAAAGCUGUGGUUGUUUACCGGUGAGAAGAGAAGAGCGCUGCCUGCCAACGCCGACCGCCAUCCCAUCUCCCUACUGCCGGCUCCCCCCAAGUGUUUAUUUAAGCCAACACAUUGCUCUGCUAAUUGGAUAACAUUCCAUGUGAAAACAGACCUUUUAAAACAACAGCAGCGGUGGCAAAUAAAAACAGCUGCAACUGCAAAAGUACAAAGGCUCGGUGGGCUCCGGGAAGGGAGAAAUUAAAGGCGCAUGCAUGGGGGAAAAAAAAAAAAAGAAUGUUCUGGUUUCCAGGCUGCAAGUCUGCUCUUUGCUUUCUUUCCCUUCUUCCUCCGUGACCAGCCAGUCCAAGUAAAGGCAGAGGAGGUGGUGGCUUCUAAACGGAAGCCCAGUGACUAUUGGUGGCCGCUUGGCCAGUGGGCACGGGCACAGCUGGUUGGGAAUCCCAGGUUACCUGCCCAGGUAGAAAGCUGCUGUCUCCAAGGCUUGGGACGGUUGGCAGGAGACAGUGUGCGGCUCUGGAGGCCCCUAAAGGAAUGCCCACUCCUCCUCUGGGGGCCCCGGAGGAGCUGAUUUCAUCCUGGGCUUGUUCCCAAGAGAUGUUUUAAGGGCCAACCUCUUGGCCUUCCUCCAAAUGUCUAAUUGGUGAGUUGCUGGGGAUGGGUGAGAGGUGAGGGGUGUGGUGUAGAGAGGAAGGGGGCUGGCGCACGGUUUGGCCGCAGCUGGCACUCAACUUAAGUGAAUACGUGAAUGAAGGGAGGAAGAGCUAAUCCGUGGACUCUGGAAUCAGAUCGACACGCGGGGUUUCCCAGCUCUGGCACGUGGCGCCAACCCUUCGAACCUCAGUUUACCCAUCUGUCAAAUGGCUUCCUCCCGCUGACGUGUCAAAUGCCCAGUGCCGUCCCUGCCAAAGACGGGCUUUUAGAAGUUGAUGGUUUUUUACUGAUGCCAAGAGGCUGCCCUUCCAGAAACAUCAUCAGGACCCAGAGAAACACGUGGCACCUGAGACACUACAAACAUCCCUACACACAAGCGCAGGCCCAGGCACUGGGGAAGACCACCUUAUUUGGGACUUCCUGUCUGCCCUCAUUGACCUUUGUCCCUGCUUCCCUCCAGCGCGUGGGAGAAGGUUCUUUGAGAAAUGUGGGCUCAUCACACUUGGAGGUUUAGAUAAUAAUAACAGCAGCCCUUUCAGAGGGACUGACAUUCAUGCCUGGGACAUCGGGGGCUGAUGAAAUGCCCUAGGUUGGGAUAACAUGCCAGCUCACGGAGCCUGUGACGGGGGCUGACGGCCAGGUCCCACCCCUGGUUUAGCAUCUCAGCAACAGAGCCAGGUCCCGGCUUCCCAUUGGUUCCCAGGACCCUGCACACAUGGAGCUUAACAAGCGCCUGGAGAAACCGGGGAGGGAGUUAUGCAAAUCUCCAGCUGAGUCCGGGGCUGCUGCAGGUUGGGACGAGACAAUGCGUGUACGGUGUACAUGUCACACACAAAGCCAGCUCGGCCGGUCGCGGGCGCCUCUGGCUAUUGUCAUCAGUUGCCUGGUUACCCUGAGCUCUUCGUGGAGCCUUGCGCUAGGAUUCUCUUCCCUGUUUGGGGCGUGUGCUUGACCCAGAGGGGCCUGACGGAUGACGGAGUUCCCGAGGAUGUGCGGGGUGGAACAUGGGGUCAUGGAGCAAGGUCGGAAGACUCAGGGUCCCUGGGGGCGGGGAGGACGCAGAUGACCCGUGCUUGGGGCCCAAAGAGAGAUGGGGGUGCUGAGCGGAUGCCUCCAGGGACCAACCAGGGUGCCUAAUUCUCUCCUCAGCCAGCUGGCAAAGUGGACUGGUUGGUGCCCAGGAAAGAGUACUGUGCUGUGAGUCACAUCCCCGGGUUCACAGCCCAGCCUGGAAACUGCUAGUUUCUCCACUGCUUUCCAGACCCAAGGUGCUACAAUCGGCCUCUACUCCCUCCCUGCCUCCUCCCCCUAAUAUGUGUCCGCUCCCCUCAUCUUUUCCUCCCUGUCUCCUCUUUUCCCCUCUGAGGACCGCCUGGCGCCCCGGGGCACAGGAGGCUUACACCUCCAGGUUCCAGUGCUCUGACACCACAAGAGUUACUGACCACUAUCUUCCUGGAGGACGCCCCACGGCAGGAAGCAGGGGUGAAGCCCUCGGUGAGGGAGGCGAGUGGUCAGGGUUCAGUCAAGCCCCGGGAAGGAUUUCUAAAGCAGGUCUUCUUCCCUGAAGCGCUUCAAAGGGAGAACCGCUGGGGGUGGUCGUGGGGUGGUGGGCGGCGCUUGUCCUGAGAAACUGGGGGUCCUGGAGGUUCCCCUACCAGCCCUGGGAUUCCCACGAGUUCCUUCUUUCGAAAUGAAAAUAGGGUCUCUGGGGGUUUCUAACUCAAUGUCUCCUUCCAGCAUUGCUUUCCCUCUUCAAACUCACGCCUGCCCUCGAGCUAACCAGAUAUUUACAAUAUUCAGAAUUCUAUUCACCAACAUGCAGCGCGCACGCUCUAUGGCGCAGUGGAGAGCGCCAAAUGUUCCACUCGGGGGACAAUAAAGUUCUUCAGACAGACAGGGAGAAGGAAAAGUCACGGCAGCUUCUCCGGGAAGCAAAAAGAGCAAAGGAAUCUUUGCGGGAGAGAUCACCACCAUCACCAACCGCCUCAUCACAGCUAACAGACGGAGCUCACGGAGGCCAGAUACCGUCCUAAGACUAUCAUCUCAUCCCAGCCUCGCAACGAUUCGAUGGAGGGCUCUGAAGGGACCUGGGCUGGUGGGAACGAGGAGGAAACAGCUCACUCAUCUCGAGCACCGUGUGCCAGGACCCGUGUCACCAUAUCUGCCUUCACCCUGUGGGCGUGGGACCUGUCAUCCUUCCCAUUUUACAGAUGAGGAGACUGAGGCACAGGGCAGGGCCGGGGAAGCCAAGCAGCCAGCAGUAAGUGCAGUGCUCUGGACGGCUGUUCCCUGGCUUCUGAGCCAGUGGCGGGGGGACCCCGCAGGUGCCUGCCUUGCUGGUGAGCGUCAAGGCCGUGGGCCGGCUGCACGCAGGGGUUGUGGUCCCUCCUGUCACGACAGGAGGCGAGGGGAAGACUGCCAGCCGAGAAGAAAGAGGCGCAGAUGUCUGGACAAACAUGGCCACGUGUCAACAAAGCGUGCACUUGAGUUCAAGACGCUGAGACAAAGGUGGCUGGCAGGCCUGCUGAAGUCCUGGGGCACCCUCUCUGCCUGUGCGUGUUCCCAGGGCCCACAAAGGCCGCAGCUGUGUCCCUGAGAUGACACCUUCAGCUCCACCCACAGGGCCUCUGGCAACGCCAAUUUGCUGCUGGCCAAGAGUGUGAUUCCAACAAAUACUCUGCUUUUCUGAAGACGCCUCCGCAGAGGCGGGGGGAUCCCAGCCGUUAGUGACACGCGCCCCUUUGCUUUACUGCACCCUCAAGGGAAGACAGGCCAGGGCGGGGAAGGCUGCCUGCGGCACAGGCUCUCGGAGGGAGCCCACGAAGACGGCGCCAUGGCCCCUCCCCCCAGGAUCCUGACCUGGGACUGUGACAGCAGCAACCGCGGACCCCGGUCACACAGCCUCUGCCCCUGGUCUGCUGCCGCGGAGGACGAGGACCCCGGACCUACUGCGCCAAGCCCACACCCAGAGAGGCUGCCUUGCUUCAAAAAUAAAAGGUGGUUCUGUCUCCAAGGAAUUCCGUACACGUGCUUACACACAGCAGCACUUGCCUGGCCUGAGUGCACCUGAAAUCAGCACAAAACACAAGCCCCAGGCACCAGCAGAAGAAGAGGGGAAAGAGCUGUCCCCGCGGGUUCCCACCGGGGUGCCUGGCGGCCUCUUCUCCGAGCGCUGUCCCCUGGCUCCUCUCCACACUCUGCACAGCAUCUCCCACGCUUUCUGUCUGACCUGGAGCGGCCCGGGACACAGAACUGCCCCUUCCUCCAAACACAAGGCCCAUGGUCUUUUCUUCCAAGGACAUUGUGUAAAUUAGCAGGGCUGGGGAGAGGAGGGGAGAGAAAAUCCGAAUGGGGAGUGGGGGCCGCGCCCACGUCUGUGAAGAGGCCUUGCUGCUUCUCCCACAAAGGACCCAGAAAGGAGAGGCCGGGAGGGAGGGGCCCUG